rnacentral:tRNA from 1 species
GAGCAUAGCUCAGUUGGAAGAGCAUCUGCCUUACAAGCAGGGGGUCACAGGUUCGAGCCCUGUUGUUCCC